rnacentral:rRNA from 1 species
GCGGACGGCUCAGUAACACGUAGUCAACUUACUCGUGGACGUGGAUAACCUCGGGAAACUGAGAAUAAACCACGAUAGAUCAUAGUGCCUGGAAUGGCUUAUGGUCCAAACAGUUUACUGCCAUGGGAUGGGACUGCGGCCUAUCAGCUUGUUGGUGAGGUAAUGGCCCACCAAGGCGAUUACAGGUACGGGCUCUGUGAGGAGAAGCCCGGAGAUGGGUACUGAGACACGGACCCAGGCCCUAUGGGGCGCAGCAGGCGAGAAACCUUAGCAAUGUGCGAAAGCACGACUGGGUCAGUCCGAGUGAUUCCUGAUAAAGGAGUCUUUUGCUUGUCCUAAAAGCACAGGUGAAUAAGGGGUGGGCAAGUCUGGUGUCAGCCGCCGCGGUAAUACCAGCACCUCGAGUGGUCAGGACGUUUAUUGGGCCUAAAGCAUCCGUAGCCGGCUUUGCAAGUCUUCGGUUAAAUCCACCUGCUCAACAGAUGGGCCGCUGGAGAUACUACAGAGCUAGGGAGUGGGAGAGGCAGACGGUAUUCAGUGGGUAGGGGUAAAAUCCUCUGAUCCAUUGAGGACCACCAGUGGCGAAGGCGGUCUGCCAGAACACGUUCGACGGUGAGGGAUGAAAGCUGGGGGAGCAAACCGGAUUAGAUACCCGGGUAGUCCCAGCUGUAAACGAUGCAAACUCGGUGAUGCAUUGGCUUAUGGCCA